CGUGCCAGCCGCCGCGGUAAGACAGAGGGGGCAAGCGUUGUCCGGAUUUACUGGGCGUACAGCGCGCGCAGGCGGCUGCGUAUGUGACUGGUGACAGCCUCCCGCUCAACGGGAGAAGGCCCGGUUACACAGCGCAGCUGGAGGCAGGGAGAGGGAUGUGGAAUACCCGGUGGAGCGGUGAAAUGCGUAGAGAUCGGGUGGAACACCAGUGGCGAAGGCGGCAUCCUGGCCCUGAC
rnacentral:rRNA from 1 species